rnacentral:lncRNA from 1 species
UUGGAUCUUUUUUGCUUCUGGACAUUUCUUCGGGAACAUUCCGCCAUUAUUUCAAACUGUGUUUUUUUUUUUUUUUUUUUUUAAACAAGUGAACUCAUCCACGCAGAAAUUUCCCUAUCUCAUGGAGCUGUGUUUCCAACUGUCACAUGGUGGGGCUACCUGCCAGCCAAGCAUUCAUUUGCGGAAGCAGAGCCAUCUGUGUCUGUGUGGUAGCGUUUGAGCAGUUGUUUGGGCAAAUAAUUGCUUUCAUCUAUUUCAAUGAAUAUUUACUUCGUUUUAAAAAAUGGAAAAUUUUUUUUUUAAUAAACUGCCUUGUGCUUGUUAAAAAAAGGGAGGGAUAGGGAAUAUAGAUAUGGAGUGUUGUUAUCAGUGGCAAGAAGCAUGGACUUCACUAAAGAUCCGUGCUGCCAUGACAAAAGUAGCCAAUCUUUAUUCUUUGUUAGAUGCCCAUUGGACUUAAACUGAUUGGUCAGUGGUGAAAUGAAAAUAAAAAACCAAGAACAUAUACAAUGUGGGAGAUGUAUUGUGGGGGUUGGUGCCAUAGGAUGAGGGUAGGUUUAGACAGAUUAUUUUCGUGUUUUGUGCUUGGCAUGGCCCCCCCCUUUUAAAAAUAUUUUAAAGUAAUCUCCAUACCCAACAUGGGGUUCGAACCAACAAACCCAGUAUCAAGAGUGGCAAGCUCCACUGACGGAGCCAGCCUGGUGCCCUGGGGUCAUCUCUUUAAUAUGUAAUUUUGUGUAUUAGACUUGAUUACAUGAUUUUCCAGAUUGCAGUAUAUACAAAGGUACAGAACUGUCUGCAUAUGCUGAUGAGCUACUUUGGAAACCUGAUUUAACACUGUAGAUCCAUACCCAGCUAUUUUUUUUUAAAGAGAUGCUUGAUUCUUAAAGUGAUUCUUUAAAAGAGAUGCAGCAAGAUGUAAUAGAAAAAGCAAGGUGUUGGAUUCAGACUAAGAAUAAUAAUAGCUAACAUAUUAAAAGUGUUUGUUAUAUGCCUGGUUAUGAGUAAAGUGCUUUAAUGGAUUAUCUUAAUUUUACAAAAACUCUGUGUCAACUAUAUAGAGUAGUGGCUAAGAAUGAGCUUUGGAGGCAGAUUGCAUGGUUCAUAUUUGUGCUCUGCUUCUUACAUAAUUAGGCAAUUAAUUUUGACCUCUCUUUGCCUCACUUGGUUUUUCAUAUGAAAAUGAGGAUAAUAAUAGUACUCAUGUCAUGUGGUUGUUUUAAAUAUCGGAUGAGAGAAGACCUGUAAGGAGCUUCGACAGUUGCCUGCCUGGCACAUGGUAAAACUCAAUAAAUCCUGUCUAUUAAUACCACUGUAUGACCUCAGGCAAGUUACUUCCUCUCUGAGCUCCUACUUUCUCAUGUGGGAAGUGGGAGUUAAUAAAUACCUACCUCAGAGUUACUAUGAAGAUCCAAUGGGAUCAGUUAUUUAAAGUGUUGUGCAGAGUGCUUGACACACAGGAACGGUUUCAUCCAACUUGGCAUUCUAAAUCCUAGGUCUUGCUUUGGUUAUUCAGAGAUGCUCGUUAAAUGCUGAGGUUACAGGGGUCAAAAGAGAGACCAGGUUCCUGCAUGCAAGAGUUUGCCUUUCUCUGGGAGGCAGAGAGGGGCAGCAGAAAUAAGUAAAUGAUGAUCAUUUGAAAUUGUUAUAAAGCUGUGAAGGAAAGUAAUGGGUCACUGGGGGUAGUCGGUUGGGAGCUACUUGAUGCAAUGGUAUAGGGAAGGCUCAAGGGAAGACAUGGAGGACAUAAAGAGUCAGCUGUUUGAACAAGAAGGCAAGGAUGCUUGAGGCUGAGGGUCCUGAGAGUUCCAGACCUGGAGCUGGAAAGAGCUUGGGGGGUUCAUGGAACACAUUGGGCUCAUUGUGGUUAAAGCUUCCUGACUAAGGGUGAGUUGUAAGACCAAAUCAUGUAGGACCUUUUGGCCAUGCUAAGAAGUUUUUUUUUUUUUUUUUUUAAAUAUUUAAAUUCAAUUUGCCAACAUAUAGUAUAACACCCAGUGCUAAUCUCAUCAUGUGUUCUCCUUAAUACUCGUCAUCCAGUCACUUCAUCUCCCCACCAACCUCCCCUUCUGCUGCAACCCUUUAUUUGUUUCCAGAGCCAGGAAUCUCUCAUGGUUUGUCUUCCUCUCUAAUUUUUCUCCACUCAGUUUUCCUCCUUUCCCUUAUGGUCCAUUUCACUAUUUCUAAGAAGUUUUUAUUUUAUUACAAAGUGUAGUGGGAAGCUAUUGAAAGGUUUUCAGCAGGUAUGUUAAAAUUCAGCUAUAUUUUGAGUGGGAAUCUCAUAUAGUUUCUGACUUUGAGGCUGGCGACUUACAUACAAGAUCCCACUGGUCUUUGAUCAGGGAAAACCUACUUACAACUAAAACUCAAGGGCAGCCCCGGUGGCCCAGUGGUUUAGCGCUGCCUUCGGCCAGGGUCAUGAUCCUGGAGACCCUGAUCGAGUCCCACGUUGGGCUUCUGCAUGGAGCCUGCUUCUCCCUCUGCCUGUGUCUCUGCCUCUCUCUCUCUGUGUCUCUAUGAAUAAUUAAAUUAAAAAAAUUUAAAAAAAAUAAAAAAAAUAACUAAAACUCAAGUUUUCUUCCAUCAUUCACCUCCCUUGACCAUCCCACAUGGUAUCAAGGGAGGGAGGGGACAUAUUUUUAGAGUAUCUACUAUGUCAAGAUCCUCUUGGCUUUCAGGCACACUCAUAAUGUUACUCUAACCACUUGUGAGGCAGGUGUCCCUAUAUUUAACCAAAAAGGAAACAGGCUCUGAGGUAGUAAGUGAUUAUCAUAGAUUUUAAUGGUUGGUGCUGCCAGGAUUUGUCUAGGCUUUGUUCUUUGUUCCCUUUGCACUGACCCUGAGCCCCAUGUACUUCGGUCUCUAUGUCAGGUUGCUCUGUCAUGAUGAUGAUAGAAGUGUACAAGACUGUAAGCAUAAUUGGAUUAAAGACGUUUGUUCAUCUUCAUGAUGGACAGUCUUAGGGUUUGCAAAAAACAUGAUAUUGCUUCACACUGCACUGUUUUAUUUCUGAAUGAUUCCAGCAGUGUGAUCUUGUUUUUGUGAUUGUAUUCAUCCAUUCAGGACUGGAAUAUAGUCUCCAUGCCCAUCUUGGGCUACCAUUGACUUAGUUAAUAGCUGCAAAAUUUACUAUCUUCCUGUAAAAAAUUCCUUUGCUCAUUGCUCUUCAGCAUAAGUACUAAGAAUGCAAGUUAAAAUAACUGAACUGUAACUCUUAAUAAUUUUGUUUUCAUGGAAAAUAAGAAAUGAGGUUGAAUGGUCUGUUAGCAGCAAUCAAGACAAAUGUUGGCAUUUAACUUCUAAGCCUAUUUAUGUGUAAUCAAAUAUAAUUCUUUUGAAGAAUGAGAGCUUUUAUUUUGGUGUAAAAUUUCCCAGGAGUCUAAAUUGGAAAAUUAUAAUAGUUAUGUUUCUCUUUAAAAAUGGAAGAAGGUUUUAAGUGGUCUAAAGUUAAUUGUAUCUAUCUAGUUAAAUUACAUGACCUUGUUUCAAUAUUAUUCUUUCCAUAAAGCACUGGUAAAAUGGCUAAUAACAAAGUAAUCUUUUAUCAUUUCUAAAAUUUUCCUAGUUUGUUGAUCACUGUAUGACACUUGUUAGUGAUGAAUUUCUAUACUUGCAGUAAUUUGGUUUCAGAAAGUCAUACCUUUUGCUUCUCAAGAACAUGUUAGCAUCUGAAUAAAUGUUUUGGUAACUAUUCAAAAUUAUAAAAACACAUGUUCUUGUGAAAAACUUAGAAAAUAGAAACAAGCAAAAAUAAAAAUCACCCAUAACAUGUAUUUUCCAGGCUUUUCCAUGUCCACAUGUACCCAGAAAAUCUGGAUUUGAAUUUCAGCUUACUUUAUGAUCUACCUAACUUUCCAUGCCUCAGUUUUUUUUUUUUUUUUAAGAUUUUAUUUAUUUUUUUCAUAGAGACACACACAGAGAGAGAGGCAGAGACACAGGCAGAGGGAGAAGCAGGCUUCAUGCAGGGAGCCAGACGUGGGACUCCAUCCCAGGUCUCCAGGAUCAUGCCCUGGGCUGCAGGCGGCGCUAAACCACUGUGCCACCCGGGCUGCCCCCUCAGUUUCUUUAUCUGUAAAAUGAGUACCUAUCUCAUAGAGUUGUUGGAGGGUUAAAUGAGUUUAUAUAGGUAAAGUGCUUAUAAUUUUGCCUGGCCCCUGGUAAGAACCAAUAUAUGAGAUUUUAAAAAACUUAGCAAAACAACAGGGAUGGGAUGCUUGAGUGGUGCAGUCAGUUGAGUGUCUGACUAUUGGUUUCGGUUGGGAUCAUGGUCUCAGGGUAGUGGAAUCGAGUCCCACUUGGGGCUCUGCACUAAGCAUGGAAUCUGCAGGAGAUUCUCUUUCCCUCUUCCUCUGUCCCUCCCAUUCAUGCUUUCUCUCUCUCUAAUAAAUAUAUCUUAAAAACCCCCAAAUUUAAUUCUCACAGUUCUGGAGGCUGACAAUCUGAGAUUACAGUGACAGUAUGGUUUGAUGAAGACCCUCUUCCUUGGUUCAUAGGUAGUGACUUCUCUCUGUGUCUUUAAUGGUGGGAGGCCUAAAAAACUUAUGGAAAUUUUCAAAUAUACAUAAAACUGGAACAGUAUUAUGAACUUGAAUGUACUCCUCUAUUAUCGACAUUUAGACAUUCUUGUUUUAUCUAUCAUCCCCCUCCCUCACCCUUUUGAGGGUAAGUGGAAUAUUUUACAGAGGAUCCGUAAUGUCAUAUCAUUACUCCCUAAAUACUUCAGUUUGUUCCAAGAUAAUAUUUGCUAAGAAGUAAAUUAUUUUAGAGAACCAGUGCACAAAAUUAGAAUCAUUUUUGAGAGGAGGAAAUACAAGUAAAAUACCUAUAAAAUACAUUCUGUGAUGCUUUAAUAAAUUCUAGGUAACUGAAUAGUAAUUGAAGUAAGAUUAUGAAUAUGGAGAUUUUAGCUAUUCAGAUUAGACAUUUGUUGGUCAAUAAGAUUUUUUUUUUUUUUUUGGUUAGUAAGAUCUUUGGUAUCAGUUUUAUUAUAAAUAUAGUGUAAAGAUUAUUUUGAUUAUAUUAACAUAAAACAUUUAUUUUAUUUUCAUUUUUUUAUUUUUUUAUUUUUUAAAGAUUUAUUUAUUUAUUUAUGAUAGACAGAGAGAGAGAGAGAGAGAGAGAGAGAGAGAGGCAGAGACACAGGAGGAGGGAGAAGCAGGCUUCAUGCCGGGAGCCCGAUGCGGGACUCGAUCCCGGGACUCCAGGAUCACGCCCGGGGUCAAAAGCAGGUGCUACACCGCUGAGCCACCCAGGGAUCCCCAAAACAUUUAUUUUAAAACCAUAGAGAGCAAUUUGAAUAUUCUUUUGGUAGAGAAAAAUGUUUAAAAAUUGUAAUAGAAAAAAAUCAUAAAGGAGCUAAUUUGAAGACUCAGAUUGGAUACUGUAAGAAUUCUAGAUAAGUAAAUCUUUAGAUUUUUAGAAAUAACCUUUUAAUCUAUGUUCCUUAAUGUAUUUAACACAUAAAUACAUAAAUGUAUGUGACAUUUUAAAAAUUACUCGAGAGUAAUUGGAGAAAAUGUAAAAAAUAAGGCAUUAUUCAAGGAGGUGGUUUUGUCUUUUCACUUUAAUGCCUGGUUCUGGACAGCAAUCAGUUCUAAGUUGGAAUUUCCUGCCUUUCAUCUUAUUUUAGACUCUCAUUUCAAAAUCUGUGAGUAAGUAGCAUGUGACAUAAUCUGAGAAAGAACUAAAUUAUAAAGGCAAGAAUUUGAAUGGAACGAGAUAUAUUUCAGUACUUUGCAACUGGUGAGAUCAUCAGAACUCAUAGUCACCUAAAUUUGGUCAGCACUUGAAUUUAUAGAUCCUGGAAUUCCUGGGGCACAGUGCAGGAACGUGGAAUGUGCUGGUCAGGCCUCAUGUUACUACUGAUGGUCCAGGGAUACAUUGGGUUGGAAGUGAAGAAACCUCCCUUACCUGAACUGCCAGGCUUAUUAGCAUUUUGGCAAGUUGCUUAACCUCUCUGACAUUCAAUUUCUUCAUUUCUUUAGUGGAAAAAAACCAAAAAAACAAAAAAAAAAAAA